rnacentral:rRNA from 1 species
UACGGAGGGUGCGAGCGUUAAUCGGAAUUACUGGGCGUAAAGGGUGCGUAGGUGGUAAGGUAAGUCAUCUGUAGAAUCCCCGGGCUUAACCUGGGAAUGUCAGAUGAAACUGCAGGACUAGAGUACGGGAGAGGGCAGUGGAAUUUCCGGUGUAGCGGUGAAAUGCGCAGAUAUCGGAAGAACACCAGUGGCGAAGGCGACUCGCUGGACAAGUAUUGACGCUGAGGUGCGAAAGCGUGGGGAGCAAACAGGAUUAAGAA